ensembl:lncRNA novel transcript
AGAAGAGAAACUCAUGUCAGCCCCAGCCCUGGGGCUACCUGACCUGAUGAAGCCAUUUACACUGUAUGUGGCAGAGUGAAAAGAUGGAAGUUGGGAGUUUUAAUCCAGACGGUGGGGCCCUGGCCAAGACCAGUAGCCUACCUCUCCAAACAGCUAGAUGGAGUUUCUAAAGGUUGGCCCCCAUGUUUGAGGACCUUGGCAGCAACUGCCCUGCUAGCACAAGAAGCAGAUAAACUAACUCUUGGGCAAAACCUGAACAUAAGCACCCCCCAUGCUGUGGUGACUUUAAUGCAUACCAAAGGACAUCAUUGGCUAACAAAUGGUAGACUAACUAAGUACCAAAGCUUGCUCCGUGAAAAUCCCUGCAUAACCAUUGAAGUUUGCAACACCUUGAACUCCACCACCUUACUCCCAGUGUCAGAGAGCCCAGUCGAACGUAACUAUGUAGAGGUGUUGGACACAGUUUAUUCUAGCAGGCCUGACCUCCAAGACCAUCCUUGGACAUCAGUAGACUGGGAGCUGUACAUGGACAGGAGCAGCUUCGUCAACCCACAAGGAGAGAGGUGUGCAGGAUAUGCAGUGGUAACCCUGGAUGCUGUCACUGAAGCCAAAUCAUUGCCCCAGGAUACUUCAGCCCAAAAGGUCAAACUCAUUGCUUUAAUUUGGGCCUUAGAGCUAAGUGAAGGUAAGACUGUAAAUAUUUAUACUGACUCUCGGUAUGCCUUCUUAACCCUCCAAGUGCAUGGGGCAUUAUAUAAAGAAAAAGGCCCAUUGAAAUCUGGGGGAAAAGACAUAAAGUACCAGCAAGAGAUCCUGCAGUUAGUAGAGGCAGUAUGGAAGCCCCAAAAGGUGGCAGUCAUGCAUUGCAGAGGACACCAGCGAGCUUCCACCUCGAUUGCCUUGGGGAACUCCCAAGCUGACUCAGAGGCUUGAAAAGUAGCAUCCACCCCCUUCUGGGCAUCAAUCACAGCCCCCCUAUUCCCUCAGGCACCUGACCUUGUACCUACUUAUUCUAAAGAAGAGAAGGACUUUCUCUAGGCAGAGGGAGGACAGGUGAUAGAAGAGGGAUGGAUCUGGUUAUCGGACAGGAGAAUAGCCAUACCACAACUGCUAGGAGCCGCAGUCAUAUUGGCUAUGCAUGAGACCACGCACAUAGGCCAAGAGCCACUUGAAAAGUUGUUGGGCCAGUUCUUCUACAUCUCACAUCUGUAAGCCUUUGCCAAAACAGUGGUGCAGCAGUGUGUCACCUGCUAGCAGCACAAUGCUAGGCAAGGUCCAACUGUCCCGCCCAGCAUACAAGCUUAUGGAGCAGCCCCCUUUGAAGAUCUCCAAGUAGACUUCACCAAGAUGUCCAAAUGUGGAGGUAACAGGUAUUUGCUAGUUCUAGUGUGUACAUACUCUAGGUGGGUGGAGGCCUAUCCAACACGAACUGGGAAAGCUUGUGAAGUAACCUGUGUGCUUCUCCGAGAUCUCAACCCUACGUUUGGACUGCCCUUACGAAUCAGCUCAGACAAUGGGCUGGUGUUUGUAGCUAGUUGGUACAGAAGACAGCAAAGGUGAUCGGGUAUGGAUCACGGAUUGGAACAUAGCCUCCUUGCAGCCACGGUGGAGAGGACCCCAGACCAUCGUCUUGACCACUCCCACAGCCAUAAAGGUAGAAGGAAUCCCAGCCUGGAUUCACCACAGCCAUGUAAAACCUAAAGCAUCUGAGACCUGGGAGGUGAGACCAAGCUUGGACAACCCAUGCAAGAUGACUUUGAAGAAGAUGACAAGCCCUGCUCCAGUCACACCUGGAAGCUGACUGGUCCGUGCAUGGCUGAAGCAUGAGGAAACUCAUCGUGGGACUCAUUUUCCUAAAAUUUUGGACUUGUACAGUAAGGACUUCAACUGACCUUCCUCAGACUGAGGUAGGGCAAAAAGUUAAAACAGACUUUCUGUUUAAAAGGGACUUGUGUGUAUAAUGCUACCCAGUACAAGAUAUGCAGCCCAAGAAGUGACCAGCUUGAUGUGUGCUAUAACCCAUUGGAACUAGUUUAUCCCUGUUGGAAAACAGAGUAUGUAACUCUAGGAAUUGAUGGAACUGGACUGGAAGACCUGGGUAGUGAAGAUGACAGUGAGAACUCCCACUAGUGAGUGAGAUUCUCAAAGGGGGGAAUGAGAAGUGAGGCCAUUUCUCUUACUGUCUCCUGUCUCUGAAGAGGAGGAGGAAGUAAAAGUUGAAAAACAACAGGAAUGAAGUCAUUGGCAAGACCAGCCGGUGCCACUGAUGACCAGGCCUGAGGUUAAAAGAUCAACCCCCCACUCUAACCACAUGUGCUCUCAAUCUAUCAUGACCCUUUCAUGUGGACCCCCUUAGAGUUGUAAGCCCUUAAAAGGGCCAGGAACUCUGUCUUCAGGGAGCUCGGUUCUUGAGACAUGAGUCUGCCAAAGCUCCCAGCUGUUGAGAUGCGAGUCUGCCAAAGCUCCUGGCCGAAUAAAGCCAAAUCCUUCCUU